UAUAUACAUACGAGAUUGUCCGUUAUUUAAGGUCUCAAAGAUGGUGGGUGUUGUCUGCUAAGAUUGAUAAAAAUAACUGUCUCUUCCGUCGUCAAGUUAUUUGAAAAGCACAAAUGAGGUUCAGGUUCUGUGGGGAUCUAGACUGCCCAGACUGGGUUCUGGCAGAAAUCAGCAUUCUGUCUAAAAUGACAUCGGUGAAAAUGAAACUUCUAUGUGUCCAAGUUAUCAAGGACAUUCUGGGAGCAGGGUUAGAUUAUGACAAAGUCUACAAGCUGACAUCAGAUGCUAAAUUUGAGAUGGGUGAUGUGAAAGCAAGCAUCGCGGCUCUGACAUUUAUCUUGACGAGUGCGGCCAAAUACAGCGUGGAUGGAGACACCUUGUCGAACGAGCUCCAACAGCUCGGUCUUCCUAAAGAACAUGCCGGCUCUCUCACCAAGUCCUACAGCGACAGUCUAGACAAGUUACAGAUGCGGCUGCAGGAACAGUCUCUCCGCUUGUCCUCCCUGGAGAAUGUCAAGUGGAGGGUGGACUACAUCCUCAGUUCCAGUGAACUGAAGGAUAUCAACGAGCCAAGUGUGCAGAUAAGGCUUGAAAUGAAGAGCCCAGACACACAGUCAACAGAACCCGUGGCCUUCACUGUAUCUGCAGACAAGUUCAGAGUACUCCUUAAUGGUAGGUGAUAUUGUGGGUAAUACGAUGGGGAACCAGAGCCCUGUCCACCUAACCUGUGGCCUUCACUGUAUCUGCAGACAAGUUCAGAGUACUCCUUAAUGGUAGGUGAUAUUGUGGGUAAUACGAUGGGGAACCAGAGCCCUGUCCACCUAACCUGUGGCCUUCACUGUAUCUGCAGACAAGUUCAGAGUGUCCCUUAAUGGUAGGUGAUAUUGUGGGUAAUACGAUGGGGAACCAGUGGCCUUCACUGUAUCUGCAGACAAGUUCAGAGUGUCCCUUAAUGGUAGGUGAUAUUGUGGGUAAUACGAUGGGGAACCAGAGCCCUGUCCACCUAACCUGUGGCCUUCACUGUAUCUGCAGACAAGUUCAGAGUGUCCCUUAAUGGUAGGUGAUAUUGUGGGUAAUACGAUGGGGAACCAGUGGCCUUCACUGUAUCUGCAGACAAGUUCAGAGUACUCCUUAAUGGUAGGUGAUAUUGUGGGUAAUACGAUGGGGAACCUGUGGCCUUCACUGUAUCUGCAGACAAGUUCAGAGUGUCCCUUAAUGGUAGGUGAUAUUGUGGGUAAUACGAUGGGGAACCCGUGGCCUUCACUGUAUCUGCAGACAAGUUCAGAGUGUCCCUUAAUGGUAGGUGAUAUUGUGGGUAAUACGAUGGGGAACCCGUGGCCUUCACUGUAUCUGCAGACAAGUUCAGAGUACUCCUUAAUGGUAGGUGAUAUUGUGGGUAAUACGAUGGGGAACCUGUGGCCUUCACUGUAUCUGCAGACAAGUUCAGAGUGUCCCUUAAUGGUAGGUGAUAUUGUGGGUAAUACGAUGGGGAACCAGUGGCCUUCACUGUAUCUGCAGACAAGUUCAGAGUGUCCCUUAAUGGUAGGUGAUAUUGUGGGUAAUACGAUGGGGAACCAGUGGCCUUCACUGUAUCUGCAGACAAGUUCAGAGUACUCCUUAAUGGUAGGUGAUAUUGUGGGUAAUACGAUGGGGAACCUGUGGCCUUCACUGUAUCUGCAGACAAGUUCAGAGUGUCCCUUAAUGGUAGGUGAUAUUGUGGGUAAUACGAUGGGGAACCAGUGGCCUUCACUGUAUCUGCAGACAAGUUCAGAGUGUCCCUUAAUGGUAGGUGAUAUUGUGGGUAAUACGAUGGGGAACCAGUGGCCUUCACUGUAUCUGCAGACAAGUUCAGAGUGUCCCUUAAUGGUAGGUGAUAUUGUGGGUAAUACGAUGGGGAACCUGUGGCCUUCACUGUAUCUGCAGACAAGUUCAGAGUGUCCCUUAAUGGUAGGUGAUAUUGUGGGUAAUACGAUGGGGAACCAGUGGCCUUCACUGUAUCUGCAGACAAGUUCAGAGUGUCCCUUAAUGGUAGGUGAUAUUGUGGGUAAUACGAUGGGGAACCAGUGGCCUUCACUGUAUCUGCAGACAAGUUCAGAGUGUCCCUUAAUGGUAGGUGAUAUUGUGGGUAAUACGAUGGGGAACCAGUGGCCUUCACUGUAUCUGCAGACAAGUUCAGAGUACUCCUUAAUGGUAGGUGAUAUUGUGGGUAAUACGAUGGGGAACCUGUGGCCUUCACUGUAUCUGCAGACAAGUUCAGAGUGUCCCUUAAUGGUAGGUGAUAUUGUGGGUAAUACGAUGGGGAACCAGUGGCCUUCACUGUAUCUGCAGACAAGUUCAGAGUGUCCCUUAAUGGUAGGUGAUAUUGUGGGUAAUACGAUGGGGAACCAGUGGCCUUCACUGUAUCUGCAGACAAGUUCAGAGUGUCCCUUAAUGGUAGGUGAUAUUGUGGGUAAUACGAUGGGGAACCAGUGGCCUUCACUGUAUCUGCAGACAAGUUCAGAGUGUCCCUUAAUGGUAGGUGAUAUUGUGGGUAAUACGAUGGGGAACCAGUGGCCUUCACUGUAUCUGCAGACAAGUUCAGAGUGUCCCUUAAUGGUAGGUGAUAUUGUGGGUAAUACGAUGGGGAACCAGAGCCCUGUCCACCUAACCUGUGGCCUUCACUGUAUCUGCAGACAAGUUCAGAGUACUCCUUAAUGGUAGGUGAUAUUGUGGGUAAUACGAUGGGGAACCAGAGCCCUGUCCACCUAACCUGUGGCCUUCACUGUAUCUGCAGACAAGUUCAGAGUACUCCUUAAUGAAUUGAAGCAUGCUGAUUCCAUGAUGGAUACCCUGGCAUCAUAGCAUCUUCCUCCCACUGAACUUCUUCCGACUCUAUUGGAACUCGGGCAGUUUUGACAUAAUAUAGGAACUGCUGUUACAGUCGUGUCAUUUGAAACAUGUGCUUAAAAGUCUGUAAGCCAUUGUAAUUGAUGUCAGAGCAGAAACUAAAGGUCUUUUAAGGAAAAUUGUUGACCAAAGAGCAAUCCCAUUGAGGAUUCACUUAGGGCUAGGACAAUCUAAAUUUACUUCCUGGUACACAUCCCCCUAUUACCCGACCCUACCCGGGUACCUGCUGUAGGUCUCAAGAGAUAUGUACAAAAUGUCCGAGAGGCAAUAGUUUGACCAGAGCAAAUAGGCAUAAAACUAUCUGGUCAUGCAUAUCUAAAGUUGACUGAAGCUUUAUCUUUAUACAAAAAUAUAUAAGUCAGAAGGAAUGUGUGAAUAGUCCGAAAGAAAUGUGAACAUUCAUGACCUGUCAUGUGUUCACAGAGGCUGAGAUAAUUUUUGUCUUUAAACAAUAUAUCAAGUUACUAACAAUGGGUCUGGGUAGUCCUGUAGGUACCAAGUCCUACUCUGUACCCCUCGACCCAAGUAACUGGGUUUCCCGUCCCAGCCCUAGAUUCAUUAAUAACGCCUCCCUUCAGGGGACACCAGGGUCCACUUGCACAAAGCUAUCUUAGCGCUAAGAUGAUCGUAACUCCCAUACUUUAACAUAGGCUUACGAUAGUCUUAGCGCUAAGAUGAUCGUAACUCCCAUACUUUAACAUAGGCUUACAAUAGUCUUAGCGCUAAGAUCGCUUUGUGCAUGUGGGCCCAGGUCACAUUCCCAGUACUCCAUGCUUGUUUGUUAGAGACAACUUUAAAGGAAAGGGUUGUUAUACAGUAAGUGAUCUGGCUGACUGUAUAUCAAUAUUAGUCUGCUUGAUCAAAUAUUUGUUAAUCUGGAAACGCUAUAUGAUGUUUCACUGAUCAAAUAAACGUCAUUUGAUAUAUAGGUUUACAUUCCAUGAAACUGUAUUGAGAUGUAUGUAAAUAAAUGUCUUUUGAAUAA